GAGAGAGAGAGAGGAAGAGAGAGAGAGAGAGAGAGAGAGAGAGAGAGAGAGAGGGAGAGAGGAGACAAAGAAAGACAGCCAUCAACACAGACAGAAAAAUGCUAGCAAGGUUGCCAUGACUGCGUUGCCAUGGUAACUACAGGAAUAUGUAGUUCUCUGGAUUUGAGAUAUUUUCUCUCUCUCUCUCUCUCUCUCUCUCUCUCUCUCUCUCUCUCUCUCUCUCUCUCUCUCUCUCUCUCUCUCUCUCUCUCUCUCUCUCUCUCUCUCUCUCUUCUCUCUCUCUCUAACUCUCUCUCUCUCUCUCUCUCUCUCUCUCUCUCUCUCUCUCUCUCUCUAACUCUCUUUCUCUCGCUUUCUUGGUCCUCUAUUCCUUUCCCAAGAGUGUUUACCACUGGAUGAGAACUGCUGAGGUUCAGAUCUAAUUCCAUGUGAGCUGUAAUGAAAGAAUAUUAGCAGCUAAAUAAAAUAAAUCAUUUCCUGUUCUAUCAAAA